rnacentral:rRNA from 1 species
UCAAGCUGAUACGAGCACAGGGAGGAUGCCUUGGCAUUGGGAGCCGACGAAGGACGUGGUAAGCUGCGAAAAGCUGCGGGGAUUGGCAAACACGACGUGAUCCGCAGAUGUCCGAAUGGAGAAAUCCGGCGGGGGUAAAGCCCCGUCACUGCAUGCUGAAUAAAUAGGCAUGCAGGGGGAACCGCCCGAACUGAAACAUCUAAGUAGGGCGAGGAAAAGAAAUCAACCGAGAUUCCGCAAGUAGUGGCGAGCGAACGCGGAAAAGGCUAAACCGGGUGUGGCAACACAACCGGGGUUAUGGACUGCAUUUAGCAUUCACAAACGCUAACCGAAGUGCAUGGGAAGGCACAUCAGAGAGGGUGAGAAUCCCGUAGGUGAAAGUGAGAGUGAGCGAGCAGUAUCCGAAGUACCGCGGGGCACGUGAAAUCCCGUGGGAAGUUGGGGGGACCAUCCUCCAAGCCUAAAUACUACCCAAUGACCGAUAGAGAAAAGUACUGUGAAGGAAAGGUGAAAAGAACCCCGGGAGGGGAGUGAAAAAGAACCUGAAACCUUGUGCUUACAAGCACUUAGAGCGCGUCAACGCGUGAUAAGGUACCUAUUGUAGAAUGGUCCGGCGAGUUAUCGUAGCGUGCGAGGUUAAGCACUUAAGGUGCGGAGCCGAAGCGAAAGCGAGCGUUAAAAGCGCGAUUUAGUACGCUGGGAUAGACCCGAAACCGAGUGACCUAUCCAUGGUCAGGAUGAAGUGGCGGUAAAACGCCAUGGAGGUCCGAACCGACCCCCGUUGAAAUGGUGGCGGAUGAACUGUGGAUAGCGGAGAAAUUCUAAUCGAACUCGGAUAUAGCUGGUUCUCCUCGAAAUAGAUUUAGGUCUAGCGUUGUUUUAGAUUACCGGGGGUAAAGCACUGAAUAAGCUAGGGGCCGAGAGGUUACCGAACUUUAUCAAACUCUGAAUACCGGAUAAUUGAUGAACAGCAGUCAGACGGCGUGAGAUAAGUUUCGUCGUCGAAAGGGAAAGAGCCCAGACCGCCUGCUAAGGUCCCAAAGUACGUUUAAGUGGGAAACGAUGUGAAGUUGCACAGACAACCGGGAUGUUGGCUUAGAAGCAGCCAUACAUUCAAAGAGUGCGUAAUAGCUCACCGGUCGAGUGACUUUGCGCGGAAAAUUUAACGGGGCUAAAACGUACACCGAAGCAGCGGCUUCAGUUGCAAGAGUAAUUGAGGGGUAGAGGAGCGUUCCAUGCGGGGGGAAGUCACAUCGUAAGGGGUGGUGGACUGCAUGGAAGUGAGAAUGCCGGAAUGAGUAGCGAGAAUUAUGUGAGAAUCAUAAUGGCCGAAAGCCUAAGGUUUUUGGAGGAAGGUUCGUCCGCUCCAAGUAAGUCGGAAGCUAAGGUGAGGCGGAAACGCGUAGCUGAUGCACAAACGGUUGAAAUUCCGUUACCGUCGAAAUUUAAGUAUGGGGACACACUGCAAAGGGCACAAGCCGGGCGUUGGUAGACCCGGUCGAAAGGGAGCGAAAACAAGUAGCGAAGUGUGCUUGCGCGGUGGCGAGAAAAGCCAUAUGGAAUAAUAAGACGUCCGUACCGCAAACCGACACAGGUAGGUAGGAAGAGGAUUCUAAGGCCAACGGGAGAAGGGUAGUUAAGGAACUCGGCAAAAUGUCCCCGUAACUUCGGGAUAAGGGGAGCUGCAGCAAUGCAGCCGCAGAGAAUAGUCCCAAGCAACUGUUUACCAAAAACACAGGUCUAUGCUAAAUCGAAAGAUGACGUAUAUGGGCUGACGCCUGCCCGGUGCCGGAAGGUUAAGAGGAGGAGUGAGAGCUCUGAAUCGAAGCCCCGGUAAACGGCGGCCGUAACUAUAACGGUCCUAAGGUAGCGAAAUUCCUUGUCAGGUAAGUUCUGACCCGCACGAAUGGCGUAAUGAUUUGGGAGCUGUCUCGACUGCCCGCCCGGCGAAAUUGUAGUACCGGUGAAGAUGCCGGUUACCUGCGACUAGACGGAAAGACCCCAUGGAGCUUUACUGCAGCUUAAUAUUGGGUUUUGGCAUUUCAUGUACAGGAUAGGUGGGAGACUGUGAAACAGGGGCGUCAGCUUCUGUGGAGUCACUGUUGGGAUACCACUCUUGGAGUGCCGGAAUUCUAACCGAUUGCCGUUAACCGGCAACGGGACAGUGUUUGGUGGGCAGUUUGACUGGGGCGGUCGCCUCCAAAAGAGUAACGGAGGCGUUCAAAGGUUGGUUCAGCACGGACGGAAACCGUGCGUUAGAGUGCAAACGCAAAAACCGGCCUAACUGCGAGACUGACGGGUCGAGCAGUAACGAAAGUUGGAGUUAGUGAUCCGGCGGUAUGUUAAUGGAAAUGCCGUCGCUCAACGGAUAAAAGUUACCCUGGGGAUAACAGGCUGAUCUCCCCCAAGCGUCCACAGCGACGGGGAGGUUUGGCACCUCGAUGUCGGCUCGUCACAUCCUGGGGCUGUAUUCGGUCCCAAGGGUUCGGCUGUUCGCCGAUUAAAGUGGCACGCGAGCUGGGUUCAGAACGUCGUGAGACAGUUCGGUCCCUAUCUGUCGUGGGCGAAGGAUAUUUGAAGGGAGCUGUUCCUAGUACGAGAGGACCGGAAUGGACGCACCGCUGGUGUAUCGGUUGUCCUGCCAAGGGCACGGCCGAGCAGCUAAGUGCGGAAGGGAUAAACGCUGAAAGCAUCUAAGCGUGAAGCCCACCCUAAGAUAAGAUAUCCCAUUGUUUUAACAAGUAAGACCCCUUGUAGACUACGAGGUUGAUAGGUGUCAGGUGUAAGCGCCGCGAGGCGUUCAGCCGUGGCAUACUAAUCGGUCGAGGGCUUGAACU